UCAAAAGGGCGUGAUGGUGAUGCAUGCUUCACUGAUCCUCUGCCCAAGCAUCUGCAUUGGUGUGGCUUUUGGAUUGUGGUCAAAAGAAUGUCGUCCCUCAGAGAUUAUAAUUUGUUCAGCAGUUAUUAUUGCACGGCCUGUUAUGCUGAUGAAGACCGCUCCUUAUCUUGACAGAUUACACAAGUGUGUGCAAAGCUCAGUCAUGACUUUGGCUGUUCCUCUUUACUACUCGAUUAUAGCAGUAGCUGCAUGUUCAUUGUUUUUUGAUGACAUCAUUCAGGCACACACAACAUUUCAACAUAUAAAAACACUAAUGGCAUUGGUAAUAAUCCUGUCUGUCAUCUGCGCUCUUA